rnacentral:rRNA from 1 species
CACGUAGGGUGCAAGCGUUGUCCGGAAUUAUUGGGCGUAAAGGGCUCGUAGGCGGUCCGUCACGUCGGGAGUGAAAACUCGGGGCUCAACCCCGAGCCUGCUUUCGAUACGGGCGGACUAGAGGUAGGUAGGGGAGAACGGAAUUCCUGGUGUAGCGGUGGAAUGCGCAGAUAUCAGGAGGAACACCGGUGGCGAAGGCGGUUCUCUGGGCCUUACCUGACGCUGAGACGCGAAAGCGUGGGGAGCGAACAGG